GACGAACGCUGGCGGCGUGCCUAAUACAUGCAAGUUGAGCGCUGAAGGUUGGUACUUGUACCAACUGGAUGAGCAGCGAACGGGUGAGUAACGCGUGGGGAAUCUGCCUUUGAGCGGGGGACAACAUUUGGAAACGAAUGCUAAUACCGCAUAAAAACUUUAAACACAAGUUUUAAGUUUGAAAGAUGCAAUUGCAUCACUCAAAGAUGAUCCCGCGUUGUAUUAGCUAGUUGGUGAGGUAAAGGCUCACCAAGGCGAUGAUACAUAGCCGACCUGAGAGGGUGAUCGGCCACAGUGGGACUGAGACACGGCCCAAACCCCUACGGGAGGCAGCAGUAGGGAAUCUUCGGCAAUGGACGAAAGUCUGACCGAGCAACGCCGCGUGAGUGAAGAAGGUUUUCGGAUCGUAAAACUCUGUUGGUAGAGAAGAACGUUGGUGAGAGUGGAAAGCUCAUCAAGUGACGGUAACUACCCAGAAAGGGACGGCUAACUACGUG
rnacentral:rRNA from 1 species